UGUUCAAAGCAGGCAGAUCCAAUUUUCUGCCACCGAAUACAUUAGCAUGGGAUAAUGGAAUAGGACCCUGUCCUCCUAUUUUCAGUUGGUUUUGGCAGCGCGAGGACUAGGGUAAUGAUUAAUAGGGAUAGUUGGGGGCAUUAAUAUUUAAUUGUCAGAGGUGAAAUUCUUGGAUUUAUGAAAGAUUAACUUCUGCGAAAGCAUCUGCCAAGGAUGUUUUCAUUAAUCAAGAACGAAAGUUAGGGGAUCGAAGACGAUCAGAUACCGUCGUAGUCUUAACCAUAAACGAUGCCGACCAGCGAUUAGGAGACGUUGAAUACAAAACACCGCCAUCGGUUGCGGUCGUCCUUGGCGUCUCGGUUUCGGCCGGGGCGCGGGACGUUAGCCCGGCCCUGAGG
rnacentral:rRNA from 1 species